GGCUUACCAUGCAGUCGAGGGGCAGCAUUUCAGUUUGCUUGCAAACUGGAGAUGGCGACCGGCGCACGGGUGAGUAACACGUAUCCAACCUGCCGAUAACUCGGGGAUAGCCUUUCGAAAGAAAGAUUAAUACCCGAUGGUAUAAUCAGACCGCAUGGUCUUGUUAUUAAAGAAUUUCGGUUAUCGAUGGGGAUGCGUUCCAUUAGGCAGUUGGUGAGGUAACGGCUCACCAAACCUUCGAUGGAUAGGGGUUCUGAGAGGAAGGUCCCCCACAUUGGAACUGAGACACGGUCCAAACUCCUACGGGAGGCAGCAGUGAGGAAUAUUGGUCAAUGGGCGCUAGCCUGAACCAGCCAAGUAGCGUGAAGGAUGACUGCCCUAUGGGUUGUAAACUUCUUUUAUAUGGGAAUAAAGUGGUCCACGUGUGGAUUUUUGUAUGUACCAUAUGAAUAAGGAUCGGCUAACUCCGUGCCAGCAGCCGCGGUAAUACGGAGGAUCCGAGCGUUAUCCGGAUUUAUUGGGUUUAAAGGGAGCGUAGGUGGACUGGUAAGUCAGUUGUGAAAGUUUGCGGCUCAACCGUAAAAUUGCAGUUGAUACUGUCAGUCUUGAGUACAGUAGAGGUGGGCGGAAUUCGUGGUGUAGCGGUGAAAUGCUUAGAUAUCACGAAGAACUCCGAUUGCGAAGGCAGCUCACUGGACUGCAACUGACACUGAUGCUCGAAAGUGUGGGUAUCAAACAGGAUUAGAUACCCUGGUAGUCCACACAGUAAACGAUGAAUACUCGCUGUUUGCGAUAUACAGUAAGCGGCCAAGCGAAAGCAUUAAGUAUUCCACCUGGGGAGUACGCCGGCAACGGUGAAACUCAAAGGAAUUGACGG
rnacentral:rRNA from 1 species